GAGGGUGAUCGGCCACACUGGGACUGAGACACGGCCCAGACUCCUACGGGAGGCAGCAGUAGGGAAUCUUCCGCAAUGGACGAAAGUCUGACGGAGCAACGCCGCGUGAGUGAUGAAGGCUUUCGGGUCGUAAAACUCUGUUGUUAGGGAAGAACAAGUGCUAGUUGAAUAAGCUGGCACCUUGACGGUACCUAACCAGAAAGCCACGGCUAACUACGUGCCAGCAGCCGCGGUAAUACGUAGGUGGCAAGCGUUAUCCGGAAUUAUUGGGCGUAAAGCGCGCGCAGGUGGUUUCUUAAGUCUGAUGUGAAAGCCCACGGCUCAACCGUGGAGGGUCAUUGGAAACUGGGAGACUUGAGUGCAGAAGAGGAAAGUGGAAUUCCAUGUGUAUCGGUGAAAUGCUUA
rnacentral:rRNA from 1 species